CACGCCGUAAACGAUGAGUGCUAGGUGCUGUGGGUAUUGACCCCUGCGGUGCCGCAGCUAACGCGUUAAGCACUCCGCCUGGGGAGUACGGCCGCAAGGCUAAAACUCAAAGGAAUUGACGGGGGCCCGCACAAGCGGUGGAGCAUGUGGUUCAAUUCGACGCAACGCGCAGAACCUUACCUGGGUUAAAUCCACUCGAACUUGGCAGAGAUGCCUUGGUGCCUUUCGGGGAACGAGUGAGAAGGUGC
rnacentral:rRNA from 1 species